rnacentral:rRNA from 1 species
GGCGGGCUAAGUACCGCGGUACGAGGGCUCGACUUCGGUCGGGUUCUAGAAAGCAGGCCUCUGAAUUCAAGCUUGUGGGGUUGGAUGGGCCCGCGGUCCAUCGAGCUAGUUGGUGAGGUAAUGGCUCACCAAGGCAACGACGGAUAGCUGGUCUGAGAGGAUGAUCAGCCACACUGGAACUGAGACACGGUCCAGACUCCUACGGGAGGCAGCAGUGGGGAAUCUUGCGCAAUGGACGAAAGUCUGACGCAGCGACGCCGCGUGGGUGACGAAGGCCUUCGGGUUGUAAAGCCCUGUGGGGGCGAGACGAACAGCUUCUGGUCGAACAGGCCAGGGGUUUGACGGUAUCGCCUUAGCAAGCACCGGCUAACUCUGUGCCAGCAGCCGCGGUAAUACAGAGGGUGCAAACGUUGCUCGGAAUUACUGGGCGUAAAGCGCGUGUAGGCGGUUUUUAUAAGUCCGACGUGAA